CCUGGUAGCUCAGCUGGUAAAGAAUCUGCCUGCAGUGCAGAAGACCCUGGUUCAAUUCCUGGGUCAGGA
rnacentral:tRNA from 1 species